rnacentral:rRNA from 1 species
GACGAACGCUGGCGGCGUGCUUAACACAUGCAAGUCGAGCGGUAAGGCCCUUUCGGGGGUACACGAGCGGCGAACGGGUGAGUAACACGUGGGUGACCUGCCCUCAGCUCUGGGAUAAGCCUGGGAAACUGGGUCUAAUACUGGAUAUGACUCCACGGUGCAUGUCGUGGGGGUGGAAAGCCUUGUGCGGCUGAGGAUGGGCCCGCGGCCUAUCAGCUUGUUGGGGGGUGAUGGCCUACCAAGGCGACGACGGGUAGCCGGCCUGAGAGGGCGACCGGCCACACUGGGACUGAGACACGGCCCAGACUCCUACGGGAGGCAGCAGUGGGGAAUCUUGCGCAAUGGGCGAAAGCCUGACGCAGCGACGCCGCGUGAGGGAUGACGGCCU